rnacentral:tRNA from 1 species
GUGCCUGUAGCUCAGCGGAUAGAGCGUUGGCCUCCGGAGCCAAAGGUCUGGGGUUCGAAUCCCCGCAGGCACG